rnacentral:lncRNA from 13 species
CCAUCCUGGGAGCGAGAGCUAAUUCACUUCUGUCUCUUUAGACCCUCUUAUCAGAGAUCUGACAGUUCCCAGACUUGAAUGAACCUUUCCACUUUUUAAUUUUUUUUUAAACAGCUUGAACCUCUCUGCUCGUAAUUUUGGCAUCCAGACUCCACUCUUGGAUUGAGACUCUAGUCAAUUAAACACCUUAGGCCUUUUUCCAUGAGUUGCUCUCAAGCCAACAUGUCUCCAGUCUGCAAUCAGUUUUUGCAUGCAGAUACAGAGGAGGGGGAAAAUAUAUGUUCCUGUGG